GACUAUAUGUGGUUGUGCAACUUAUUUAACAAGUUUUCGCUUUCUCCGCCAGGCUUUUAUUCGUGAUAUUCAAAUUUGUGUUGUGCAAGUUCAGAUGGCAUAUCAUAACCAUAAGCAACAGAAACCAGCAAUUACCAAUUAUUCUGGAAACUUGGACACUAUGAUGAUUGAUGAAUUCACGAAAGAGCCAUAAAGAAUAGUACUUGUUGAUAUUCAUAAUCUUUAAGCCAGUGCCUAUGCUUCUUCAUUGUUCACUUCUUAUACUGAACUGAUUUCGUGGGGAAUAUUGAUAUCUUCUAAUAGAAUAAUUGACCAUGUUAUUGAUGUAUCUGCUUCUCCUGCUAGUCAAUGGUUGGCUUAUGUGUAGGUGCCUUAAAGUUGUUGUCCAACUUGUGGAGAAGCAGGCAGUGGUCGAGUCUCCCUGUUAUUCCAUGUUACAGCUUGAAGUCAUCCAUCACCCAUUCAUAUGAGUUGACUUUAUGUUUUUUUUGCUAUUUCAUAUACAUGCUGGCCUCCAUCAUUGGGUAUCUGUAGCUGUUGUCUCACAACAAAAUUGAUAGGCAUCUUUCUUUCAUGGGUGUUAUUUGUUAGACGUUUCUCAUGGGCAGCUUCUCUUGAUAUAUAUUUUUCUCCCUCUUUUCUUACUGCGCGGUGAGAGGAGUGGAUCAAUAGACAUGCACCCAUAUCUCUGUGUUUGUAAAUACCUUGCAGUUUUUCUAUAUGGAAUGCUUGGAUGGUGUGCCCCAAGUGUUAUGUUCUCGCAUGGUCCUUGCUCCAAAGCCAUCUCUGAUAAGUUUAUAAGAUAGUAAGCAAUUCAAUGGAUGUAAUUUUCAAAGGUUUUUAACAAAUAACAAUUAAUCAUUUUUAUUUUGUAAUAUGGAAGAUCAAGGACAUAAAAGAUCAAAUGCUCACGAACUCUGUGUCUCAAGAAGUAAUAAAUUUAUUUUUGAAAGCGUGAUCAGAGCUUGAAUUUUAACAAGUUAGUUGUGUUGAAUCUAUCUAUGUCACCAGAUUAAGCAAAAUCAUCAUAAAUAUCAGCAAUAUUUUAAAAUAUCAUGAUAUCAUAGAAUUUCUUUUCAUUUUCAUACGUAUAUUAAAUGCAUUUUUUAUCAGUAUUUUGUAAGAAAUUAGAAAUUGUUUUUUAUAGGCUCAGUAUGUGUUUUCAUUUUUUGCUUUUAAAAACUAUUUUUAAUUAUUAUCAAUUUUUAAAGUUAAUAAACUAAUAAAAAUCAAUAAUUUCAUAAAUUUUAAUUAUUGUUUAUUUGUUUUCUUUAAUUUCCUUUUUUGAUUUUUCUCAAGAAAAAAUUAAAGAACUUCAAAAAAAUUUUCCAAGUACCCAAGAAAGGUAAUUAUGAUAAUAGGCGAUAUAAUUGUCUUGUAGCUUGGGACCUUUGAGGCUCACCAAAAAUUAGGGGAGACCCAUCACUCUCUGAGCCUCUCUCUCUCUCUCUCUUAUAUAUAUAUAUAUAUAUAUAUAUAUAUAUAAUAUUACAAAAGCACACAUAUUUCUCUUUUAACUAUGUGGAUCAAUAUUGUUAAGUGCAUUGAUGCGAAGGUGAAGCAAUGCAGUAGGCCUGUGAAACGACGCGUAGCGCAAUGAUGUAUAAUGAUGCAUAAACAUCAGGAUAAAAAAAAUAUCACGUUUAUAAUACUCAAAAAGAAUGUCGAAACUCAAAAGUAGAAAACAUGAAAAACAAAAUAUAUCGAUAUAUAGUAUGGUUGUCACCCCCAUAGACUAAUCCGGUGGAAUCAAUAUAUUAGCAUGUGUUGAGGAUCAAAGCCCUUUCCUAGAUAAACGCGGUGGGUGUGGGCUUUGGUUCAUGCUCAAGUGGUAUACUCCUUUCAUUCGCCCCAAUGAAAAGAUAUUUAGAAGUCUUUUGCCCUGUGUAUAUGGCUUUUCUAGAUAUAUAAUUGACAUAUAACUCAGUUGUUGGAUCCAUUAUUAUUUAAAAAUUAACUUCAAAAAAGUUAAGCAGCCAUUAACAUUUCCUUCACAAAAACCUUUUUUUUUAAGCUAAUGCAUGCAUAGAGGGACUUAGCUACAUGUUUAUGUUUAUGUAUGUUGAGCUUAGCUUAGCCUUAUUGUUCUAAACCUUUUUUAUUUUUUUUUAUUUUUUCUUAAACCUUUUGUUUUCUUUUUUCUUUUUUUCAUUCUAACCUUUUUUUUGACAUGUUAUAUGUUUACUUAACAUUUUAUUUGUCCUUUGCCAAUAAGGUGCAUAUGGGUUAACGUUUAUUACUUUUGUUUUCAGAAUUAAUUUAAAAAUUUAUAUUACUUUUGUAAUUAAAAAAUCUAAAAAAUAAACAAAUACAGACCUGUCCAAAAGAUAUGGCAUGCUGUUGCUGCAAACUAAUUUCACAGCAAUAUCAAAGAAAUAAACCAUUAAAAUGUUUUAAAAAAUAUUUAAGCAUUAAAAAACAUUAAAACAUAAAAAAGUGUUUGUGCCUGAUGUGUGCUGAUGCUCCGCAUCAGGCAUGAACUGUGAUACGCACGCAUCUGGUGCUCUGCCAUCACCUCCAUGAUGCGAUGUGCUUAUGGGGAUGAUGCGCUAUAUGCACACCCAUCACCAUGUGAUGCGUGCACAUCUAAUAACAUUGGCCUGGAUUACAUAAGAAACAGGUGAUUAAAUUGGAAAAAGGUCCCAUCCAAACUGAAGCGGGUUUUUGUUAUCCUCCUAAACUUGAGCAAUUUUUGUAGAAAGUUUAUGUUUGUGUGCGUACACACUUGAGCUUAACAUACAUUAGUUAGAUAUUCUAGUUAGCCUUUUGGACUUCCUAAUAAUGAUACAAUUUUCUGGAAUUUGAUCCUGCACUUUUUGAAUAUCUUGAUUAUUAAGUUAUUAACUAAGGUGUCUUUUGGUGGGUGUAUAUCCAUGUUGCCCUUGCUUGAAUAACUUGUAUCGCUACCUUAUUCAUAUUUUAUAAGUCCUUUGGAUAUGCUUUAUUCAAAUCCUUAUCCUUUUACAAGGAGGAUUACAUGUUUUGGAACAUAUACUUUAUCUUUCUUUGGGUCAUAACAUAUUUUCUGUGCAGUGUGCACAGGUUUUUUGCAUCUUUAAUUGCUAGCAAUUGUGCACAACUACAAACUUAUAUAGGCAUACAUGCAAGUAGCUGAUUGGCCAUUGUAAUUCUGUGAAUCUGCGUGUGUCUCCCUCUAUAUAUAAUAGUGUUAGCAUUUUUAUGCUAUUGCUUAUUUGCUCAUAAAUAGGUUUUCUGUUUGUUCAAUUUUUAUUCUUUUUAAAACACUUAUGCUUUACAGUUUCUUCCUUGCUUCAACUCUGGGUGUUGCAGAUCACCAUGUCUCAAUGGUUUUGACAAAUAGUUGGCAAUGCAUGUCUCUUCAAAAGAUUCUGAUAAUCAUGAGUGAUUGGAAAAAUAUACUACUCAACACUCCUGCCAUGGGUCUCAAUUUUGAGUCCUUGCAUUUGCAGUUUUUUACCAAUAAAGAAUUAACAAGUUAAUCCAUGUUAUUUGUGUUUGUGAGUUACUACUGCCCAACUUUCUGAGCACAUUUUUUAUAAGAUCCACAUACUUUUUUUCCAGUUCUGCUAUGUCAUUGUACUUUGCUUGGAGACAUAAGCUUGGUGUUUGAUAAAUUUUAGUUUUUGAAGGACUUAUAACAGGCAUUUAUUGGCAUAAAUGUCAGUAGUGAUAGGUUUUAGUUUUUUAAGGCAUUAUGACAAGCAUUUAUUGAUAAAUGUCUGUGGUAUGAAGAAAAAUAUAAAGAAGUGAUUUGUCCAAAAUAUAUCCAUGCCUGUCCUCUCGUAUGUCAUGUUAAUGAAACAAUGCUUGAUUAAAGUGGGAAAUCCUCACGGCCAAACAUUGACAUUUGAUUGCACCAUGUUAGAGCAUACCGUAUGUUUUGACUUCACACAUUGAUGAAGUAGUAUACAGAACAUUAUAAGAUCACAAACCAAAUAUAGAUGUGUACAUAGUAUCGGAUAUAUAAUUCACAAUGUAUUUGAAAUGGCAAUUGUUGUUGGAGGUUUGGUGUUGACUACGUCAAAUUAUACAUGUACUCUGAACAGGUAUAACUUGGUCCAAAUACGUCCUCCCUUCAUUAGGCUUUGUUUUGACUCUCUAGUCUGGAUGAGGAGAUGACACUAAUGGUUUACAUUUUAUAACAUGGAGUUAACAUUUUAUUUUUUUUCUUUUCCAUGUUUUCCUUCACAAAUGAUAACAUUAGGAUUUAUAUCAUCGUUGUAAAAGGCAUACUGUAUUGCGUAUUGGUCAGGCUGACAUAUAUGCCAUAUUGUAACGUAUCGUAAAUCUUAAAAUUAUCUUUUAAUUUAUAAAAAAUAGAAGAAUGGAGAAAAAUUGAUCAAAAUUCAGAAAAAUAAUGACAAAUGUGUUCUAUAUAAAAAACUGAUCACACAAGAUUCACCAUUCAUGAGCCAUAAUAUGUUAACAAGUAACAACACAUUCAAAAUAACUUAAUAAGUAUAAAGCGUGUUCACAUCACAACAUAUAAUUCUUUUCUGCCAAAAUAAUAACUGAAAAUAUGUUUGUGAAUAUCAUGAAUCCAUGUUGAUCAUUAAUCAAUACAUAUCGGUCUCCACACAUAAAUCUUCCUUCAAACUGGCUGUAUUCUCUUUCAAUUUGAUUAUCACUCAUUUGAGCAAGUUCUCUCAAAAACCUACAAAGGCUCCCCCUCCAAAGCUCUAGAAGUGUUUGAAAUGUGGGAGGGCAGCAAGUUGUAAAACAAAAAAUUAGACAAAAUGAAAAAAAAAUGCCCUAGCCCCAUAUCAUAAGUUAAGGGGUGUAUCGGCCGUAUUGUCUGACACGGCAGCCAUAUCGUAAGUUUUGGUCAACACAUCACCGAUAUACUUAAGAAGAGUAUAUUGGUGGUGUAUUGUAUAGGUUUCUUUAACCUAUAUGAUACAUGUCGUAUGACACGGGCCUGUGUGGUACAAUAUGGAUAACACUGAUUUAUAUCCCCUUUUUUCAUGAAAUAUUGUAUUAGCAUCUGUUACUGUCAUACUUUGAUUGCAACAGAAUAUAGUGAACUGGUAUGCAAGUUAACAAGGUCAUGAAGCAAGUGCUUUAUUCAUAGGAGCUUGAUAGCAUUAGACUUUCUCCAUAAGUAUAGGUGGGAGAUGUAGUUUUUGGCUUGUUGCUUUCCUGGAAAUAGUUAUAUCUAGACAGAUUGUUGAAAGCUUAUCUCCCCAGUUAAAUCAGCAUUUGACCAUUGAAAAAGAGAAAUAUAUGAUUAUAUGCUGAUGACAUCAUCUACUAAAUGCAAGUUUUUGAUGCUUCUGGUUGAAGUCAUUUGCAAUUAGCUGAGCCUUAUAUCUUUCAUUAUCCCAUCAAAAAUUUUUGCUUGACUUGUGUUUCAUAUAUGGUUCUUUCCAACGAGUUUUCUUCGAGCUGUUGUGCCUGUCACUGAAAAGCGACACUGGUGAAAACAAAAACCAGGACUGGACUCAAGUAUUCUUUGACAUGUUUUCUCUGAUUGGAUCCCUCCAAUCGGAAUCGCUGGGAGAUAGUCUCAUGACCUUUUCUGAUUGGAUCCUUUCUGCAGGAAGAAGUUGUCCUCUUUUCUAUUUUUUUGGUUACUUAUUUUUCCCAAUACAUUUUUAGCCUUUAGGUGUGCUUGCUCCAUCUGGACAGUAAUUUUACUUUUGUGUCCGUUUAUCUAUGUAUGUGUUACUUGCAUAAGAUGAAUGGAUUUCCUCACAUUCUAGAAAAUUUGGACAUUCUUUUCCAUUUAUCCUGUGCUGUUGUCUUCCUCUCCAGUUCGCUAAUAAUGAUGUAAUGAGGUGGAUUAUCUACUUUGUUUGACUUCCUCAUAAUCAGUUGAACCUUUGACCAUCUCCAAACUUCAUUCUUCUUGAAGCAGUCUUUUUUGUUAAACAUAUUUAAUGAGAUCCAUGUUCUCUCGGCCCUUUUUCUUUCUGCUUGAGCCUUCUGGAUCAGUUUUUGCUCUGUUAUUCUCCUUUUUGUUUCUGAUGCUGAUAUCCUUGUAAUUGCAAGUAGAUAGACAAUUAAUGAUCUUGCCAUAAACCAAAUUCAGGGUAAAUAUAUAUCCUCAAUUUACUAUACGCAUGUUGUGUGCCUGCUAACCUUUGGCAAUGAAUCCCUCUAGUAUUUUACUUCUAUUCAUGUAUGCUAAAAGCACUAUGCUGUUACUUCUUACUGUUGAGGUUCUGACAGAAACUUUCUUUACUCCAUUAUUUACCCAUGUUCCUCAGAUUUCUAAACGCACCGUUAAGAUUUCUAAAUGCACCAUUAUUUAUCACGAGGACAUGGGAAUUCAGUGUCCUCGCCUCAUGUCUACUACCACUGAAGCAUCCGGUGCACGUGUAGCUGGAGCUAAAAUUUAUAACCAAUAGCCAAGCUUCUGUUCAAAUCCUCGAUACGAUAGCAUACUUUUAGGUAGCAUAAAAACCUUCAGUUUAAUAUUUGCAGGUGGACGUUUCAAGUCUGUAAUAUGCAGUUGCCAUAUAUUGGAAAAAGGCCUUGUUUGGAUCCUGGGAACUUGUAACAGAAUGGGUUCUACCUUUAUGGUGAGUGGAAGGAGUGGCUGAACAACUUGCUCUAUUUUGGAAAGCAAGCACUGGUCAUUUUUUCUACAUGUUCUGAAUGAACUUCAUGGAUAACGUGGUAUAAGGUGGCCCAUCGAAAUGGCAUCAACAGAUGCAUGGUAUGGGAGAACACAUUGUUCAAGAAUCUGAAUUCCGAAUUAUACUGAUUUCUGAACGAGGAAACGGGGUAGAUGGCUGUGCAUAUAACAUUUAAAGCAGAGUCUUUCCUACAUUCAAGUAUGUUCGAUGUAACACUCUGUGGAAGUAUUUCACAGACGUGGCCCGCUGCCUACCACGGAUCAUUAGCCGACAGCAGUUCCUGUCAACUUGGCAUUGUCGUGUGCUCGACACGGUGGUCAAUUUUGCAAGCAGCAAAAUCCGAAAGACGCACAAUCACACAGUGAUAAUCUCGUUCUGCGGCGUCCGUUGAUCAUCUUGCUGGAGUGCGCUGAUGGAGAAAGCAAUGACAUCACCGUCUGCAUCGCCUUUUUUUUUUGUUUUUGCUUUUAACCGGUGGCUGUCAAAAAGUCCUUUUGGAACAGAAUAUAUAUCAGAUUGUUGUAUCAAACCAUUUUGUGAUUAAUUGAUUUUUGAUUUCGUAUUCUGA